GAAAGCUGCACUGUCGGCUUCCCUGCUUUCGAGGUUUUGGGACUCAGACUGGCUUCCUUGUUCCUUACCUUGUAGAUGGCAUAUUUUGAGAGUUCACCUUGUGAUCGUGGUUCUUGUUAGGAAUUGCUGGUCCCCCUAAAUCUUAACAAUGACAUUUCUGUACCUAUCUACAUGAUCGCCUGCAGUUUUUUCCUUCUGAUUUGUUUGCACAAAGAAUUAUGCAGGAUUAAAAACUUCAAUGAACAAUAUCUCCCUUCUGUUUUGGCUUUAGAAAUCAGGUUGUUAUUGGUGGAACUGUACCCCUCCCACACCCCCAAUUCACAUGGUGAUGUUCUAACCCGCAGUACCUCACAAUGUGACCUUAUUUGGAGAUAGGCAUUUUUUAGAGGUAAUCAAGUAAAAAUGAGGUCAUUAGGAAGGCCUAACCCAAGAUGACAGUGUCCUCUAUGAGAAGGAGGAAUUUGGACAUAGACACACACAAGGCGAACAUCAUGUGAAGAUGAAGCCAGAGACCAGGAUGCUGCUUCAACAUGCCGAAGAACACCAGAGACUUCCAGAAAACCACUAGGAAUUCAGUGAAAGGGAUGAAACAGCUGCUCCCUCACAGCCCCUCAAAGGAACCAUCCCUGCCAACAUGUAGAUCUCAGACUUCCAGCUUCCAGAGCUGUUGGAUGAUAAAUGUGCGUUACUUAAGCCACUCAGUUUGUGGUACUUUGUUACGGCAGCCUAAGAAACUAAUACUCAGGUUUUUAUAAUGUCAGGUUGAGCCAUCCUCCACAUCUACUUUCUCUGGCAGUGACCAUUUCUGAUCAGGGACUGAAUAGAAGAUUCUAGUUAUUUAAUUACAAACAAAAUAAUUGAGAGAAGAAUGCAGUCAAGAUAAUUCCAAGAACAGCCCAUGACCUGGAGCCCAGUGCCCAGCUUCCACAGCAGUGAUGUGUUCACAUCAGGCCAGAUUCUUCCAUAAAAAGUUCACAUUUCUAUAA
rnacentral:lncRNA from 1 species